UGGUGAACCCCACCCCAUUUCCGUGCCUUUGGAAGCCUUCUUCUCUUGUUGCAGACAUAUAUGGGGGAUACCUGCCCUGCAAGGCCAGACUCCCCCGUUUUCUGAGCACUGAGCCCCCACAGGUAGCUCGGAGCUCCCAGGGCUUUGAUUAUACCUGCCCCCUCUCCAGCCACAGUGGUGGGAACAAGGUUCACCCCUCACCCAGG